rnacentral:lncRNA from 1 species
UGUGUAGGAAUUGCAGGAGUGUGACUUCUGUUGGCUUAAAUAGACCAGUAUUUUAUCUUGUGGCAGAAGAUUAUGUUGGGUCAAGUUAUAUUUGAAAUGAUGUGAGGCUAGGUAAGUCGAGUCAUGUUCGAAGUGACGUGAGGCUAGAUAGGCCGAAUCACAAUCGAGAUCCGUGAUUAUUAUUUUUGUAUACUUUAAGUAAAUUAGUUGCGUAUUUCUAUUAGCUCAAAUUUUUGGGAUUAACAGUUAGCGUCAACGAUCAGAUACUGACAACACGCGUGACAUAUACAAUUCAAUC